AGUGAACGCUGGCGGUAGGCCUAACACAUGCAAGUCGAACGGCAGCACACUAAGAGCUUGCUCUUACGGGUGGCGACUGGCGGACGGGUGAGGAAUACAUCGGCAUCUACUUUUUCGUGGGCGAUAACGUAGGGAAACAUACGCUAAUACCGCAUACGACCUACGGGUGAAAGCAGGGGAUCUUCGUACCUUGCGCGUUUGAAUGAGCCGAUGUCGGAUUAGCUAGUUGGCGGGGUAAAGGCCCACCAAGGCGACGAUCCGUAGCUGGUCUGAGAGGAUGAUCAGCCACACUGGAACUGAGACACGGUCCAGACUCCUACGGGAGGCAGCAGUGGGGAAUAGUGGACAAUGGGCGCAAGCCUGAUCCAGCCAUACCGCGUGUGUGAAGAAGGCGUUCGGGUUGUAAAGCCCUUUUGUUGGGAAAGAACAGCAGCAGGUUAAUACCCCGCUGUUCUGACGGUACCCAAAGAAUAAGCACCGGCUAACUUCGUG
rnacentral:rRNA from 1 species